ACUGUGUGCUAGAGAGUGAGUCACUUUCCA
rnacentral:piRNA from 1 species